AGAGUUUGAUCCUGGCUCAGGACGAACGCUGGCGGCGUGCUUAACACAUGCAAGUCGAGCGGAAAGGCCCUUCGGGGUACUCGAGCGGCGAACGGGUGAGUAACACGUGAGCAACCUGCCCCUGGCUCUGGGAUAGCUCCCGGAAACGGGGAUUAAUACCGGAUAUGACCUCUCUGGGCAUCUUGGGGGGUGGAAAGUUUUUCGGCCAGGGUGGGGCUCGCGGCCUAUCAGCUUGUUGGCAGGGUGAUGGCCUACCAAGGCGACGACGGGUAGCCGGCCUGAGAGGGCGGGCGGCCACACUGGGACUGAGACACGGCCCAGACUCCUACGGGAGGCAGCAGUGGGGAAUAUUGCGCAAUGGGCGGAAGCCUGACGCAGCGACGCCGCGUGCGGGAUGAAGGCCUUCGGGUUGUAAACCGCUUUCACCGGGGACGAAGCGUGAGUGACGGUACCCGGGGAAGAAGCGCCGGCUAACUACGUGCCAGCAGCCGCGGUAAUACGUAGGGCGCAAGCGUUGUCCGGAAUUAUUGGGCGUAAAGAGCUCGUAGGCGGCUGGUUGCGUCUGCUGUGAAAUCCCGGGGCUUAACCCCGGGCGUGCAGUGGAUACGGGCCGGCUGGAGGCAGGCAGGGGAGAAUGGAAUUCCCGGUGUAGCGGUGAAAUGCGCAGAUAUCGGGAGGAACACCGGUGGCGAAGGCGGUUCUCUGGGCCUGUACUGACGCUGAGGAGCGAAAGCGUGGGGAGCGAACAGGAUUAGAUACCCUAGUAGUCC
rnacentral:rRNA from 1 species